rnacentral:lncRNA from 1 species
GCCCUUUUCACAUUUCUCAAGGAGACUGUCUAGUUCCAGAAAGACCGGCAAUGGAUAAAAGCGAAAAGAUUGUUGGCAGCAUUUAGAGUCAUAUCAAUUAUACAAGCAGAAGACAUCAUUCUUAAUAAGUAUAGUAAUGUAUUGUUGCUGAAUUAGUAAUUUGUAUGUUAUUAUUAUUGAAGUAUGAUAUUACUGCUUAUGAGUAUGGAGAAGAAAAUGGAAACAACAAAAGAAAGAGGGACAGUAGAAAAAUAAAAGGAAUCAGUUUUAGAUUUUUCAAAUUAGAGCGCGAAUAGAAAAUGAAGAAAAAUUAAUUCUUCUUUUACCUCAGGGGAAAAAAACAUUUUAAGGAUGAAACAACACAGAACUAUAAUUUGGUCAUUGGAACAAAAAGGCAGAGCACAAGAAAAGCAGUGCAGAAUUUUUAAGCUCUUUCCGAACUGCAAUCAGUUAAAGAAUAAGACAGCCUGUAGUAUGGUUGAUUCGCUCGGGAUUCCAAGUCCUCUUGAGUUAAUGAUGUGAAGGAGAAAGAGAAUCGAGGGAGAUCCUUUUUUGGUUGGGGGAGAUCGAUAGGCCUACGAAAUGAUUUUGGCUCUAUAAUGGCAAGCAAAGGGAAGCACCGAUCAACAACAUAAGUGCAAGGUUGACGGCUAGGUUGAUCAUCAAGGAAGCCUACUAUAGGAGGAAGAGGAACCCCUGGCCCGCGAAUAAAGCAUUGAAUGGACCAAAAUGGAAAAUUUUUGGGGAAAGGCAUUUUCUCAUUUAGGAGCGGAGUUGGGACAUAGUUUUCUUUGGCAAAAGGACGAAGAAAAGUAGUUCCAAAAGUUGGAUAACUUUAGUUCAAGAAUUCAGAAAAGAAAGUACAGCCCCAAGUACCUUAUUAUUAGGUUGGUCAACGGCUAUUAAUGUGCAUUUAUUAUCGAACAUCAAAGAAAGAAGAUAGAAAAAUAAUUCUCUUUCAGCAAGGAGCAAUAAACCCAUUUCCAGAGGAAGAACCUUAAUACCCUAAACCCGGGUUGGAAUACAAUUGAAAGAAGAAGGGACUACCUGUUGUUUAAGACCGCCUGGAGCUUGAUAGCCUCACUUGAAGUGUACGACAAAAAUCCACUGAAAAUACAUACAUGUUAGUUAGUACCUCAAGGGCCGGACAGAAAAGGAAGUCGUAGACACUUUCUUUCAAUUAAUAUCUAUUGCCCACCGUCCACUUCUAUGAACCGAAAUAAAGCUGUCAGAAAAUGAGGCUCUCCGGGCAUUCACAGAGCAUGGUUGACAGAAGGAGAAAAAGAAAAAUAGACCUCUAACACUUCUUCUUACGGUUUAACAAUAAGUUAACAACAGAAAAAAGAAAAUGGAAAGGAAGAGAGAAGCCAG